rnacentral:tRNA from 1 species
GCGUGGGUGGCUCAGGUGGUUAAGCGUCUGACUUCAACUCAGAUCAAGACCUCACAGUUCACGGGUUCAAGCCCCGCAUCGGGCU